GAGUUUGAUCAUGGCUCAGAUUGAACGCUGGCGGCAUGCCUUACACAUGCAAGUCGAACGGCAGCACGGGAGCUUGCUCCUGGUGGCGAGUGGCGAACGGGUGAGUAAUGCAUCGGGAACGUAUCCUGGAGUGGGGGAUAACGUAGCGAAAGUUACGCUAAUACCGCAUAUUCUGUGAGCAGGAAAGCGGGGGACCUUCGGGCCUCGCGCUCUUGGAGCGGCCGAUGUCGGAUUAGCUAGUUGGUGAGGUAAAGGCUCACCAAGGCGACGAUCCGUAGCAGGUCUGAGAGGAUGAUCUGCCACGACUGGAACUGAGACGACGGUCCAGACUCCUACGGGAGGCAGCAGUGGGGAAUUUUGGACAAUGGGGGCAACCCUGAUCCAGCCAUGCCGCGUGAGUGAAGAAGGCCUCGGUUGUAAG
rnacentral:rRNA from 1 species